AUUUGGUUCAUGUGCUUGGCUGAUAAGCCAAUGGUGCGAAGCUACCAUCUGAGGGAUUAUGACUGAACGCCUCUAAGUCAGAAUCCCGCCUGGAAAGCGACGAUGCAUUCGUGCCUCGGCCUCGAGAGGCGUAGCUAGACGGCCGUGUGGCCGUGGAAAGAGCCCGAUUCCGACCCGAGAGGCCGCGGCAAGAGGCGGCCUCGAAGUCGGUGGAUCCUCCUGCUCGAAAGGCGGGGUGCUAAACCAUUCGCAGACGACCUAGUUGAAGAUCGGGGUGUCGUGAUCACUAGAGCAGUACAUCUCACUGCGAUUUGUUGAGAGUAAGCCUCAAGAUCUGUCGGUUUGU
rfam:Ciona savignyi cont_37405, whole genome shotgun sequence.